rnacentral:rRNA from 1 species
GGGUUGUGAGGUUAAGCGACUAAGCGUACACGGUGGAUGCCCUGGCAGUCAGAGGCGAUGAAGGGCGUGCUAAUCUGCGAUAAGCGCCGGUAAGGUGAUAUGAACCGUUAUAACCGGCGAUACCCGAAUGGGGAAACCCAGUGUGACUCGUCACACUAUCAUUAACUGAAUCCAUAGGUUAAUGAGGCGAACCGGGGGAACUGAAACAUCUAAGUACCCCGAGGAAAAGAAAUCAACCGAGAUUCCCCCAGUAGCGGCGAGCGAACGGGGAGGAGCCCAGAGCCUGAAUCAGCAUGUGUGUUAGUGGAAGCGUCUGGAAAGGCGCGCGAUACAGGGUGACAGCCCCGUACACAAAAGCGCAUGUGCUGUGAGCUCGAUGAGUAGGGCGGGACACGUGGUAUCCUGUCUGAAUAUGGGGGGACCAUCCUCCAAGGCUAAAUACUCCUGACUGACCGAUAGUGAACCAGUACCGUGAGGGAAAGGCGAAAAGAACCCCGGCGAGGGGAGUGAAAAAGAACCUGAAACCGUGUACGUACAAGCAGUGGGAGCACCCCCACUAAGCCAGUGGUGAACUCCACAUACGCAUCCUUUGCUGAGGAUACGGUUAACGGAGCGAAAGCGACGU